rfam:Citrus clementina cultivar Clemenules unplaced genomic scaffold scaffold_4, whole genome shotgun sequence.
AAAAAAGCAGGGCCAUGUUGCCUUCUGUGAACACGGCUCUCGUAAACUUCAGGAAAAGUAACUGCAUUAUUAUUGGGUGAACCUCUGUUGUUAUUGGUGACUGAAGGUUCAGUAAAUGAUGUCACAUUU